rnacentral:snRNA from 1 species
GUGCUUGCUUCAGCAGCACAUAUACUAAAAUUGGAUACAGAGAAAAUUAGCAUGGCCCCUGCGCAGGGAUGACAUGCAAAUUCAUGAAGCAUUCCAUAUUUUU